AAUGAACGUUGGCGGCGUGGAUUAGGCAUGCAAGUCGAGCGGAAAGGCCCGCAAGGGCACUCGAGCGGCGUAAGGGACAGUAAUGGGUAGGUACGUACCCCUGGGUCUAGGAUAUCUGCGGGGAACUGCAAUGAAUACUAGAUGAUGUCUUCGGACCAAAGGUGUGAUUCCACCCAGGGAGCGGCCUACAUCGUAUUAGCUAGUUGGUGAGGUGACGGCUCACCACGGCGAAGGUGGGUAGCAGGUGUGAGAGCACGACCUGCGUCACUGGGACUGAGACACUGCCAAGACACCUACGGGUGGCUGCAGGCGAGAAUCUUCGGCAAUGGGCGAAAGCCUGACCGAGCGACGCCGCGUGCGGGAUGAAGGCCUUCGGGUUGUAAACCGCUGUCGGAGGGGAUGAAAUGCCGAUGGGUACUCCCAACGGCUUGACUGAUCCUCGGAGGAAGGGUGGGCUAAGUUCGUG
rnacentral:rRNA from 1 species